AAUUAUUAUUAGAUUUUUAAAUAAUUAUUCACGAAAUAAAUUGAGCUAAAUUUUUGGUAUUUUUGGAAAUUAUAACUAUAUGUUACAAAAUAUAUUAACUAAAUAGAUUUAGGGGUGAAAGGCCUAUCAAAUUUUAUGAUAUCUUGAAGUAUAUAAAAUAUAUCAAGUAUUUCUAAUUCAACUAUUGAAUGUUUAGGUUCAAUAGUAACAUUAUAUUUUUUAAAAAAUUGUUCAAUUUUUUUAAGUAAAAUUGAGUUAGAGCAUAAAAUAUACAUCAAAUUUUUAUUAUAUGAAUAUAAAUAUACUAUGGUUAUUAAUAAAUAUAAUCAUAUAUAAUGUAAUUAUUAGUAAUAGUUUAUUAAACUAUAUAAAGGAAUUCGGCAAGAAAAUUUUUCACCUGUUUAUCAAAAACAUAGCUUAUUGAAUAUCAUAAUAAGUAACCCCUGCUCAAUGGAAAUCUAAAUAGCCGCAGUACCUUGACUGUGCAAAGGUAGCAUAAUCAAUUGGCUUAUAAUUGAAGUCUGGAAUGAAUGGGUAAUCUGGAAAAUAACUGUCUUUAUUUGUAGUAUUUUGAAUUUACUUAUAAAGUGAAAAUACUUUAAUAUAAAUAUAAGACGAGAAGACCCUAGAAAUUUUUUGUUAAUAACUUUUGUUGGGGCGACAGGGUAACAUAUAAACUUACUUACAUUUAUAUAAAUCUUAUAAGGUACGUAACUAAAUUACUCUAGGGAUAACAGCAUAAUAUAUAAAAGUUUAUGACCUCGAUGUUGGACUAGGUAAUUAAAUAUUUAAAAGAUAUCUUAAUUUGCUCUGUUCGAGCAGUAUCACCUACAU
rnacentral:rRNA from 1 species